rnacentral:lncRNA from 1 species
AGCCAACCAGGGAACAGCCCCACCUGGUGAUACGUCAUGUCUGCAGACACCUAACCCAACAGGGUUGCCAUGGUCUAGAGGCACUUGUGGACAGGAGCCAAGUAUGACAGUUCCUGGGCAGAUCCAGCCAGCAACUGAUCAAUGCAGAUGUGGGUGCUUGGAGCCAACCAUCAGGAUGAACUCAGAGAUCUGAUUACUGUACCUAGCAGAGCACCAUAGCACAGCAUGGCAAAGCCAGCACACUGCUUCAGUGAAUUUGGUGCCAAAAUUGAGCUGAUGGCUGGUGGUACAUCUCAUCGGACAAUCUAAUGAAUUUUCAAGUUCCCCA